AUUAUAUUCCCUCCGUCCCAAAAUAAGUGACGUGGAUUUGUAUAAAAAUCUAUACAAUUCUACGUCAGUUAUUUUGGGACGGAGGGAGUAUGUA
rnacentral:pre_miRNA from 1 species